GUGAGUGGCAUGAUAGUAAAUAUGUGGUUAAUUUUUUCCAUUUAAUUAAAUGAAAAAGGGUAUAUCUGUAAUUUCCAUUUUAAAUUAUUUGCAUAAAUCUCGUUCUCUCUCACAAAUCAAUAUUCAAACUUUCUUCAACAUCCAAUUUUCUCUCUCACCUUCACCAUAAUUGAAGAAAAGAUAGGGGUUGUUCGCCGGAUCGUUUUAUCACCGGAAAACUCUGUUCCUCGUCUCCUAGUUUUUCUGAUCAACAGAAGAAGUUCGCUGUCUCGUUUCUCAUAUCUGAAUCGAACAAAAGGUGAAGUUCGCUGGAUCGCCGGAUCGCUGAUCAACUGGUGAAGUUCGCUGGAUCGCCGGAUCGCUGCAUCGCCGGAAUCGAAGAAAAAAAGCCGGAUCUCUCGAUUUCUCUCGGCUAGAAAAGGCAAAGAAAAAGGAAGCUGCGUUUAUAGUAACCAUUGCAAAACGGGAGCAAGAGAUUGCAGAUUUGAAGUUGCCGAGCAUAGGGAUCAAUCCGCAGAUUAUUACGUUGACGAAUGUAACGAUGGUGUCGGAUAAGUUUAUAUGUGUUCGUGAAACGUCGCCGCAAAAUAGUGUGGUGAUCAUUGACAUGAACAUGCCAAUGCAGCCACUACGUAGGCCGAUUACUGUUGACUCGGCUCUUAUGAAUCCGAUUUCGAAGAUUCUGGCUUUAAAAGCUUGUAGGAACAGAUCACUGCACUUUCAAUUCUACACAGAAGUCUUUUGGAAUUGAUGAUUUU